rnacentral:rRNA from 1 species
GUCUCAAGACUAAGCCAUGCAUGUCUAAGUAUAAACGCUUCUAUACUGUGAAACUGCGAAUGGCUCAUUAAAUCAGUUAUAGUUUAUUUGAUGGUUCCUUGCUACUUGGAUAACCGUAGUAAUUCUAGAGCUAAUACAUGCAGAAAGUCCCGACCUCUGGAAGGGAUGUAUUUAUUAGAUCCAAAACCGGCGCAGGUCCUCCGGGGCCUGGUUGCUUGGUGAUUCAUGAUAACUGCUCGAACCGUAUGGCCUCUCGUGCCGACGGUGCUUCAUUCAAAUUUCUGCCCUAUCAACUUUCGAUGGUACGGUAGUGGCCUACCAUGGUUGCAACGGGUGACGGAGAAUUAGGGUUCGGUUCCGGAGAGGGAGCCUGAGAAACGGCUACCACAUCCAAGGAAGGCAGCAGGCGCGCAAAUUACCCAAUCCCGACUCGGGGAGGUAGUGACAAUAAAUAACAAUGCCGGGCUAUCGUAGUCUGGCAAUUGGAAUGAGUACAAUCUAAAUCCCUUAACGAGGAACAAUUGGAGGGCAAGUCUGGUGCCAGCAGCCGCGGUAAUUCCAGCUCCAAUAGCGUAUAUUAAAGUUGUUGCAGUUAAAAAGCUCGUAGUUGGAUUUCGGGGCGGCCUGGUUGGUCCGUCGCAAGGCGAGUACUGGUCAGCCGCCCUUCCUCUCGAAAGCCCCGACUGCUCUUCACUGCAGUGGUCGGGUAGUUCGGGACGUUUACUUUGAAAAAAUUAGAGUGUUCAAGGCAGGCUUACGCCUGAAUACAUUAGCAUGGAAUAAUGGAAGAGGACCUCGGUCCUAUUUUGUUGGUUUCUGGGGCCGAAGUAAUGAUUAAGAGGGACAGUUGGGGGCAUUCGUAUUUAAUUGUCAGAGGUGAAAUUCUCGGAUUUAUGAAAGACGAACAACUGCGAAAGCAUUUGCCAAGGAUGUUUUCAUUAAUCAAGAACGAA